AAUAGAUACCCGGGUAGUCCAUGCCGUAAACGUUGGGCGCUAGAUGUGGGGACCAUUCCACGGUUUCCGUGUCGCAGCUAACGCAUUAAGCGCCCCGCCUGGGGAGUACGGCCGCAAGGCUAAAACUCAAAGGAAUUGACGGGGGCCCGCACAAGCGGCGGAGCAUGCGGAUUAAUUCGAUGCAACGCGAAGAACCUUACCAAGGCUUGACAUAUACGAGAACGCUCUAGAAAUAGAGAACUCUUUGGACACUCGUAUACAGGUGGUGCAUGGUUGUCGUCAGCUCGUGUCGUGAGAUGUUGGGUUAAGUCCCGCAACGAGCGCAACCCUCGCUCUAUGUUGCCAGCGGUUCGGCCGGGAACUCAUAGGAGACUGCCGGGGUCAACUCGGAGGAAGGUGGGGAUGACGUCAAAUCAUCAUGCCCCUUAUGUCUUGGGCUUCACGCAUGCUACAAUGGCCGGUACAAAGGGCUGCAAUACCGUAAGGUGGAGCGAAUCCCAAAAAGCCGGUCUCAGUUCGGAUUGAGGUCUGCAACUCG
rnacentral:rRNA from 1 species